GGUGGUUCUCGGGUGACGCACCCCGGAAUCGGGCUCCCUCCUCUCUAGCUCCAGGUGCGUCACCCGAGAACCACA
rfam:Myotis brandtii contig286858, whole genome shotgun sequence.